rnacentral:tRNA from 1 species
UAGGCUUUAGCUUAAUUAAAGCGUCUGGGUUGCAUUCAGUAGAUGUAUAUUAAAGUUAUACAAGUCUUA